rnacentral:lncRNA from 1 species
GGAACUUAGAAGUUUCAAAUGACCCUCCAACACUAUGUAGACUGAGGAGCCUCUGACCAACUCAGCUUCUGAAAAAAAUCCAAACCUGUCCCUGCAGUUUCGGCUGUGCUGUUUCCGGAGUCAAGUAUUGAGGUUGAAGGAGGCUGAUUAGGCCUGGUCUGUGGCAGAAUGGUGCCCAAGCAGGGACCUCUGGACAGGAUGACAUGUCAUGCAAUAUUAAAAUGAAAAGUGACUUUGUGUGCUGGUAUAAGAAGAUCUUGAAGAUAGAGAUGACAGACCACCUGGACAAUGCUUCCUGAUCGUUUUUGUUAAAGUCUGGGAUGUCUUUGGCAUCUUCAUCUGCAUACCUUCUUUUGCUGCAGGAACACUCUGCUUGGACAGAUGGCAUAUUUGGACACAUUCACAGGAUGACAUGUCAUGCAAUAUUAAAAUGAAAAGUGACUCUAUGUGCUGGUCUAAGAAGAUCUUGAAGAUAGAGAUGACAGACCACCUGGACAAUGCUUCAUGAUCGUUUUUGUUAAAGGUAAUCAUUUUACACAGACUUCUAAAUCUAAUUGAAGAAAUAGUUUUCAUUUAUAAUAAAAACUCCCACAGUAGUGUUAAAUAA